rnacentral:rRNA from 1 species
CACGGGGGGAACGAGCGUUGUUCGGAUUUACUGGGCGUAAAGGGUGCGUAGGCGGGUCAGCAAGUCGGGUGUGAAAGUCCAGGGCUCAACCCUGGAUCUGCAUUCGAAACUGCUGGUCUUGAGUACUGGAGAGGUGAGUGGAAUUCCUGGUGUAGCGGUGAAAUGCGUAGAUAUCAGGAGGAACACCGUUGGCGAAGGCGGCUCACUGGACAGAUACUGACGCUGAGGCACGAAGGUCGGGGGAGCAAACAGG